AUACAGAGUGUGCGAGCGUUAAUCGGAAUUACUGGGCGUAAAGCGCGCGUAGGCGGCUACUUAAGUCAGAUGUGAAAUCCCCGGGCUCAACAUGGGAACUGCAUCUGAUACUGGGUAGCUAGAGUUUUGGAGAGGGAAGUAGAAUUUCAGGUGUAGCGGUGAAAUGCAUAGAGAUCUGAAGGAAUACCAGUGGCGAAGGCGACUUCCUGGCCAAAAACUGACGCUGAGGUGCGAAAGCGUGGGUAGCAAACGGGAUUAGAAACCCUAGUAGUCC
rnacentral:rRNA from 1 species